rnacentral:ncRNA from 1 species
CCACCCCAGUCAUUGCCAUGCGGAUAAAAGCAGGCCUGAAAAGGGUUUCCUGCUAGUCUCGACUCGAUUGGGUGCUCCAAUCGACCGAGGCAACACCCUCAAAUUGCCUGGAACUCCUGCUAGGCCCCUGGUACCGCCCAAUCGAUGAAAGUUGGUUGUGGCACCACGGUGAAAGUCGUGGGUAUGGUAAUAACCCAGUGGGAUAGGGAUAAUGGGCAGCCAAGUGCUAAGUGCAAUCGAAUCGGUGGUAUCGGUUGCAUAGGCAUGCAGUUCACAGACUAAAUGUGGGCGGGUCGAACUGGAAAUCUCAUCGAUUGCAUUUCCUUUUUGGCUUAAGAUAUAGUCGGGCCCCGCCGAGAGGCGUGC